CAAUAUUGUGACGGACCAGCUGCGGAAGUGACAGAACCCAGAACAUGCAGUAUGGAGACACUUAAAUGAAACGAAGGAUUUUUCAGAGUUGUGAGGGACAAAAACAUGCAAGACAAUGUAUUGUCCAUAUUGUGGAAUCCAGCUGGUGGGACAUAUUGGAGUUUUUUGUGGUUCGUGUGGCAGCAACAUUCACGUUUUGGCACCUUUUAUAGAGAAUGCCUGUAACCCAGUCUCAGUCACAGACCUCAUCAGUAAAUAUUUCUCAGAGGGCCAUACAUAUGAAGUGAUCCUUGAUUUUCUUACAACAAAGCACAAUAUUUGUAUAAGUCUGAGAACAUUA